rnacentral:rRNA from 1 species
CGAACGAGCGAGAGAGAGCUUGCUUUCUCGAGCGAGUGGCGAACGGGUGAGUAACGCGUGAGGAACCUGCCUCAAAGAGGGGGGACAACAGUUGGAAACGACUGCUAAUACCGCAUAAGCCCACAGGUCGGCAUCGACCAGAGGGAAAAGGAGCAAUCCGCUUUGAGAUGGCCUCGCGUCCGAUUAGCUAGUUGGUGAGGUAACGGCCCACCAAGGCAACGAUCGGUAGCCGGACUGAGAGGUUGAACGGCCACAUUGGGACUGAGACACGGCCCAGACUCCUACGGGAGGCAGCAGUGGGGAAUAUUGCACAAUGGGGGAAACCCUGAUGCAGCGACGCCGCGUGGAGGAAGAAGGUCUUCGGAUUGUAAACUCCUGUUGUUGAGGAAGACAAUGACGGUACUCAACAAGGAAGUGACGGCUAACUACGUGCCAGCAGCCGCGGUAAAACGUAGGUCACAAGCGUUGUCCGGAAUUACUGGGUGUAAAGGGAGCGCAGGCGGGAAGACAAGUUGGAAGUGAAAUCUAUGGGCUCAACCCAUAAACUGCUUUCAAAACUGUUUUUCUUGAGUAGUGCAGAGGUAGGCGGAAUUCCCGGUGUAGCGGUGGAAUGCGUAGAUAUCGGGAGGAACACCAGUGGCGAAGGCGGCCUACUGGGCACC